rnacentral:rRNA from 1 species
GACGAACGCUGGCGGCGUGCCUAAUACAUGCAAGUUGAGCGCUGAAGGUUGGUACUUGUACCGACUGGAUGAGCAGCGAACGGGUGAGUAACGCGUGGGGAAUCUGCCUUUGAGCGGGGGACAACAUUUGGAAACGAAUGCUAAUACCGCAUAAAAACUUUAAACACAAGUUUUAAGUUUGAAAGAUGCAAUUGCAUCACUCAAAGAUGAUCCCGCGUUGUAUUAGCUAGUUGGUGAGGUAAAGGCUCACCAAGGCGAUGAUACAUAGCCGACCUGAGAGGGUGAUCGGCCACAUUGGGGCUGAGACACGGCCCAAACUCCUACGGGAGGCAGCAGUAGGGAAUCUUCGGCAAUGGACGAAAGUCUGACCGAGCAACGCCGCGUGAGUGAAGAAGGUUUUCGGAUCGUAAAACUCUGUUGGUAGAGAAGAACGUUGGUGAGAGUGGAAAGCUCAUCAAGUGACGGUAACUACCCAGAAAGGGACGGCUAACUACGUG